GUGCAAUCUGAGAGUGAUUGCACUCAGUCUGAGUUUUACUGCUAUUGUUUGGAGACAGGUUGCCUCCCACUAGGCAACAGCAGAAGUAAAGAAGAGCCACAAGUUUCAUUAAAAAUUCCUGGAUGGACCUUAAUGAUAAAUUGUGUAAAUGACUCUGGGUGGGUGCACUGAGCCAGGGGGCGGAGGAGAGAAAAUGACCAACAUUGAUUUAUCCUGGCUGUUCUCUUGUCUGGUUGGUGCCUUCAGAACACCUCGCUGCAUCCCAUUCCCUCCCAUUAUCUCUCCGCGAUCACCGCAGUCCAACGAGUUUCCUGCGGGGUCAUAAAUACUUCCCCCAGACCCCAUGCUGCUUCCACAUCAUCCUCCAGACGCCGCCUAAUGACAGCAAAAGACAGACAAUGCAUCCUUUCUCUUCCGUGCUUCUCUCUGUUCAUACACAUUUUACAUUGGCUAAAAAACAUAUACCUACACCAUGAUAGGACAGCAGCGGCAUGCCCCUCAGACUUUGCAUUUAAAAUGGUACAUUAAAGCAAUAUGUCUGAAAAUAUUACAGAUGAUUGAUGUUGGUAAUGACAGUGUUUUUUCACCAUGUUAGUCGUCUAUGUGGUUUUUCUCCACAUUUAAAGCCCCCGAGAAAAGAAAAUAUCAGAUCCCUGACAUGAACAAAAGAUGACAAAGAAACAAAACAGAGGGAUAACAAUGAUGUCAGCUGUGAAGUAUUUGAAACAUGUAGUUAAAUUCUCAGAACAUCUUGAUGGGAGACAAGCUAUCAGAGACAAUGAAUCAUAUUAAUUAUUUUGACGUGCUGGUCUUCCGAAUCAAUUAGGAGCACCACACAAUGAGGCACUAGCAUAAACAAAGUCUUUGCUCCAAAAGCAUCCCCAGCCCUAUUAGUGAGAAAACCACAAUUAUAAACCACUUACAUAUGAGUCUCAAAAAAUAGGCCCACUUGAUUUGCUACAUCUAUGAAGCCAGGUCAAGUGGGUGGUCAAUUAUGGCAUUGUCUCUCUGGUCGAUUGUGUGUACAGUAAAUAGCAAACAAGUUGCUUUUCAUUUAGCAGCUUACAGGGGGAAGCUGCA